rnacentral:rRNA from 1 species
UACGUAGGAUGCAAGCGUUGUCCGGAAUUAUUGGGCGUAAAGAGUUCGUAGGUGGUUAUCUAAGUCUGGUGUUAAAGACGGGAGCUCAACUCCCGCAUGGCAUCGGAAACUGGAUGGCUAGAGUGUGAAAGAGGUAACUGGAAUUCCUGGUGUAGCGGUGAAAUGCGCAGAUAUCAGGAGGAACACCUGUGGCGAAAGCGAGUUACUGGUUCAUUACUGACACUGAGGAACGAAAGCUAGGGUAGCAAAAGGGAUUAGAAACCCC